GGAGAGGAGGAGUGUUUUAGUGGGAGGAGGAGUGUUUUAGUGGGGAGGAGGAGUGUUUUAGUGGGAGGAGGAGUGUUUUAGUGGGGAGGAGGAGUGUUUAGUGGGAGGAGGAGUGUUUUAGUGGGGAGGAGGAGUGUUUUAGUGGGAGGAGGAGUGUUUUAGUGGGGAGGAGGAGUGUUUUAGUGGGGAGGAGGAGUGUUUUAGUGGGGAGGAGGAGUGUUUUAGUGGGAGGAGGAGUGUUUUAGUGGAAGGCGGGGUUAAAGAUGUUCUUGAGUGAGAAGGUGUGGUCUCAGGUGUUGUUUCUAAGCAACAACUAAUCAGCCUGGAGCAUUGUACUUGUUGGAUCACUGAUUGUGUGGUGUUUUUUAAAAUAUAUUUUUUUAUGUUCUUUUGACUUUUUUUUUUUUCAUACUAGAGAGAACUCCGGUGCGCUCUGCAGUGCGUUCCUGUCCGCUUUGCCCUAAGGUUGUGGUCGGCUUCAGUCAGCACCUGAGGCACACGCACAAUGUGAGGAACACGGAGGAGAGGAUCCUCCUUUGUAAUUGGCAGUCGGGCCGUGUCAACAUCAGGCAGGAGCCGUGCCCAGUGACAGGAUGCUCCACCCAUGCCAGCCGGCUGGACCGGCACAUGGAGUCACACACAGAGCUCGACCGAUCGCAGAGGAGACGGGCUUUAGAGGAACUCAGGAGACGGCUGACCAUGGAGCGGCUGGCCACGUUGAGGGCGUCCAACCCUGUCGUCCCGCUGGCCACCCAUUUGGAUAUUGUGGAGUGGGAAACAAAGCAGGAAGAGGAGGACAACUCUUUAGAUUCACUGCUGUCUCCUUUGGAAGAGGAGGAGGAGGACGUGAGCUGCGGAGAUUAUUCCUGCCACUGCCAGGCGCCCAUCCUGAGGCUACGGAAAGCUUUGCAAGAGCGCGAUGAGGCCCUGACCAAGAGAAGUGCGAUCAUCCAAUCCGUUAGAGAGGACAACCUGAAGCUGACCUCGGAACUGAAUAGAGCGAGGAAGAGGUAUCAGCUACUGAAAAGGCAGAAGACGACGAGUGUCAGGGCGAGGUCAGCGAACGCGAGGUCGGGGAAGACGAGGUCAGCGAAGAGGUCCAGAUUUCAGACCGAGCCGUCUCGUCCUGCGUCAGACACAGAACAAGAGGAGCUACAGCAGGACCAAGUCGUAGGUUCAGGAGCCCAGAUAGAGGAGGCCACGGCGCUCGGAUCUAGCAGCCAAACUCCCUUCCCGGGCUCUGCUCUGAGUGUGUUUAUAGAGGGGUUCAGGAAGAUCUGUGAAGGCCCCAGUCCAAACAAUAAGCUGAAGCAAAAUUGUGCCGCGAAGCUCAAGAGGGUGCAGCAAUUUUUGAAGUUCAUGGCGAAGGAUGAGAAAUAUCCAUCCACUCUCAGUUUCCUGACAGACCAGGACAACAUGAGGAGAUGGUUUCAGACCCUUCAGCAGAACAAGGCCGUCGCCACGGUCAACAUCUACACCUCGACUAUCGGUGCAUUUCUCCAAUACUCCGAGGAGACCCCUCCGCCUGGCUGCCGGCUGACCAAAAACCACUGGAAGGAGAUCAACCGGGCAAUGAAGGAGAUCAACAAGUCCGUGAAAGGAGCCGUCUCCAACAAGGAAGGCAAGGGGGUGUCUACAAAGAGCCUGCUGGAGUGCCAGUCUCUUGCCAAGGUCAAGAUCCCCCAAGUGCUGAAAACCUUGGAAGAAACAAUGACACAGAAGAACCAGAACCGGUUUUACGGAUUCCUGUGUGCCUAUUUCACCUCCAUGUACGGCCACAGCCCGGGCCUUUAUAGAAACAUGAUGGUGAAGGAGGUGGAGGACGUCCAGCGUGGCCUGUCUGGGACCUGUCUGAUCAACGUGGGAAACGCAAAACAAAUGCAAACCAGGAUCCAGAUGUCGCUGACCAAAGAGGAGUACUCUUGGUUUUCAGACUUCCUGAAAUUUAAGCAAUGCCUGCCAGGAGGAAAGAAAGCCCAGUACUUCUUUUUCAAUUCCACCAACACUGAGAUCAAGAACCUGCCCAUCUACCUGAGGGAGGCGUGGAAGGAGAUGGGCCUGCCUGGAAGGCCUUCCUUCACUGACCUGCGGACUUCCAUCUUCAGUCAUGUCAGUCAAAUGGGAUAUAAAUGAAAAGAUCCUACUCCAACGGCUGACCCGAAAACCAUCAAUGACUAAAAUAUCAUCUUUUAUCUGUGUGUCUUGUUUGUGUUCUUACAGGUUAAAAACGUUCUCCCGAAUGCCGACGGGGAAACGUUGGCCGACUUCGUGCGCCACGACAGCCGGAUGGAAGCCAAACGUUACGCGAUGAAUCCUUCCAAAGCCGGUGAAACCAGCGCCUUCCUUGAGACGGCGUUGAAGGGAGAAGAUACCGCACCACGGGCGCCGCAGAGAACCAGCCAUCCACCUCCAGAAAGCAGAAGACGAGAGAGGACGUCUCCGAGCGGAGCACCACCCCUGAAGAGACCGAGGUGCAGUACUAGGAGUCUGACACGUCCCCCGGGGAGGAGGAGCAGGAACGGACGGCCAGACAAACUCUAGGAAAACAAGAUAUUCAGAGACAACGCAUUAGAUUACACUUGUACACCAUUUAACACUCAAGAACAAACAGAUACUCGGGCAUGGUGGUCUCCUCCAACUGAAUGUCGCCGCUCGCCUCCCACUGUGUCAGGUUAUAAAGCCCCAAACAGACUCCAGGAGAAAGAAGGACGAGGAAAGAGGGGGGGUUGACCUCUGACAGUCAGUUUGAAGAGGGGAGCUGUCUUCUGACAGUCAGGUGGAAGAGGGGGGGUUGACCUCUGACAGUCAGGUGGAAGAGGGGGGUUGACCUCUGACAGUCAGGUGGAAGGAGGGGAGCUGUCUUCUGACAGUCAGGUGGAAGAGGGGGGUUGACCUCUGACAGUCAGUUUGAAGAGGGGAGCUGUCUUCUGACAGUCAGGUGGAAGGAGGGGAGCUGUCUUCUGACAGUCAGGUGGAAGGAGGGGAGCUGUCUUCUGAAGAAUGUUCGACUUUCUCACAUGUAUACACACCACUCAGACACACUCAGACAGACACACCACUCAGACACACCACACUCAGACACACCACACUCACACACCACACUCAGACACACCACUCAGACACACUCAGACAGACACACCACUCAGACAGACACACCACUCAGGCACACUCAGACACCACACUCAGACACACCACACAGACACACCACUCAGACACACUCAGACAGACACACCACUAAGGCACACUCAGACAGACACACCACUCAGGCACACUCAGACAGACACACCACUCAGACACACCACUCAGACACACCACUCAGACACACCACUCAGACACCCCACACAGACACACUCAGACAGACACACCACUCAGACACACCACUCAGACACAGACACACUCAGACACACCACUCAGACACACCACACUCAGACACACCACACUCAGACACACCACACUCAGACAGACACACCACUCAGACACACCACACAGACACACUCAGACAGACACACCACUCAGACACACUCAGACAGACACACCACUCAGACACACCACUCAGACACAGACACACUCAGACACACCACUCAGACACACUCAGACAGACACACCACUCAGACACACCACACUCAGACACACCACACUCAGACAGACACACCACUCAGACACACCACACAGACACACUCAGACAGACACACCACUCAGACACACUCAGACAGACACACCACUCAGGCACACUCAGACACCACACUCAGACACACCACUCAGACACCCCACACAGACACACUCAGACAGACACACUCAGACAGAUACACCACUCAGACACACCACUCAGACACACCACACUCAGACACACCACUCAGACACACUCAGACAGACACACCACUCAGACACACCACUCAGACACACCACUCAGACACCCCACACAGACACACUCAGACAGACACACCACUCAGACACACCACUCAGACACAGACACACUCAGACACACCACACUCAGACAGACACACCACUCAGACACACCACACAGACACACUCAGACAGACACACCACUCAGACACACUCAGACAGACACACCACUCAGGCACACUACUCAGACACCCCACACAGACACACUCAGACAGACACACUCAGACAGAUACACCACUCAGACACACCACUCAGACACACCACACUCAGACACACCACUCAGACACACUCAGACAGACACACCACUCAGACACACCACACUCAGACACACUACACUCAGACACACCACACUCAGACACACCACACUCAGACACACCACUCAGACACACUUAGACAGACACACCACUCAGGCACACUCAGACACACCACUCAGACACACCACUCAGACUCAGACACACCACUCAGACACACCACUCAGACAAACAUAUUAUUAAAAGUCAUUUAAUGUCAUUUCAUUUGAUUUCUCUUUUAGAUUCAAUAAAAUAUUGUUACUAGUUCUCC
rnacentral:lncRNA from 1 species